rnacentral:sRNA from 1 species
AGCACGUCCUUCACGCCUCGCUCGGUCUCAAAGCCCGCAUCGGCCAGCCAGUCACCCUUGAGGUGCAGGAUGGGGGUGCUGUGAAUAGUACGUGGUCAUGCCGGUUUUACGUCCUUCGUGGCGUGCUCUA